AGUCAGUCUGUUGUUUAAUGUAUAAUAGUCUAAUGAAUAUCCCUUAUCUCAGUGUGGCAUAACAAUCCUUAAGCACCUGGAAACACUGGACAAUAAUACAUUCACAAAUAUGAUUCACUUUCUGGUCUGUGCUGUAUCAGGCCGAAUCCGACCCGAGGUAAGAGCUCGUAAAUGGAACAUUAUUCCCUUUUCAUGUACCCUGUCUUGUCUAUUCUGACCUUGAACAUCAGCAUGAGAAUAGCACCCUGUCUGUGGGGUGGAUGGUUUAACACUUGACUAGGGGUGGAUGGUGUAACACUUGACUAGGGGUGGAUGGUUUAACACUUGACUAGAGGUGGAUGGUGUAACACUUGACUAGGGGUGGAUGGUGUAACACUUGACUAGGGGUGGAUGGUGUAACACUUGACUAGAGGUGGAUGGUGUAACACUUGACUAGAGGUGGAUGGUGUAACACUUGACUAGGGGUGGAUGGUGUAACACUUGACUAGGGGUGGAUGGUGUAACACUUGACUAGGGGUGGAUGGUGUAACACUUGACUAGGGGUGGAUGGUGUAACACUUGACUAGAGGUGGAUGGUGUAACACUUGACUAGAGGUGGAUGGUGUAACACUUGACUAGAGGUGGAUGGUGUAACACUUGACUAGAGGUGGAUGGUGUAACACUUGACUAGAGGUGGAUGGUGUAACACUUGACUAGAGGUGGAUGGUGUAACACUUGACUAGGGGUGGAUGGUGUAACACUUGACUAGAGGUGGAUGGUUUAACACUUGACUAGAGGUGGAUGGUGUAACACUUGACUAGAGGUGGAUGGUGUAACACUUGACUAGAGGUGGAUGGUGUAACACUUGACUAGAGGUGGAUGGUGUAACACUUGACUAGAGGUGGAUGGUGUAACACUUGACUAGAGGUGGAUGGUGUAACACUUGACUAGAGGUGGAUGGUGUAACACUUGACUAGAGGUGGAUGGUGUAACACUUGACUAGAGGUGGAUGGUGUAACACUUGACUAGAGGUGGAUGGUGUAACACUUGACUAGAGGUGGAUGGUGUAACACUUGACUAGAGGUGGAUGGUGUAACACUUGACUAGAGGUGGAUGGUUUAACACUUGACUAGGGGUGGAUGGUGUAACACUUGACUAGGGGUGGAUGGUGUAACACUUGACUAGGGGUGGAUGGUUUAACACUUGACUAGAGGUGGAUGGUGUAACACUUGACUAGGGGUGGAUGGUGUAACACUUGACUAGAGGUGGAUGGUGUAACACUUGACUAGAGGUGGAUGGUGUAACACUUGACUAGGGGUGGAUGGUUUAACACUUGACUAGAGGUGGAUGGUUUAACACUUGACUAGGGGUGGAUGGUGUAACACUUGACUAGGGGUGGAUGGUUUAACACUUGACUAGAGGUGGAUGGUUUAACACUUGACUAGGGGUGGAUGGUGUAACACUUGACUAGGGGUGGAUGGUUUAACACUUGACUAGAGGUGGAUGGUGUAACACUUGACUAGAGGUGGAUGGUGUAACACUUGACUAGGGGUGGAUGGUGUAACACUUGACUAGAGGUGGAUGGUUUAACACUUGACUAGAGGUGGAUGGUGUAACACUUGACUAGAGGUGGAUGGUGUAACACUUGACUAGGGGUGGAUGGUGUAACACUUGACUAGGGGUGGAUGGUGUAACACUUGACUAGGGGUGGAUGGUGUAACACUUGACUAGGGGUGGAUGGUUUAACACUUGACUAGAGGUGGAUGGUUUAACACUUGACUAGGGGUGGAUGGUGUAACACUUGACUAGGGGUGGAUGGUUUAACACUUGACUAGGGGUGGAUGGUGUAACACUUGACUAGAGGUGGAUGGUUUAACACUUGACUAGAGGUGGAUGGUGUAACACUUGACUAGGGGUGGAUGGUGUAACACUUGACUAGAGGUGGAUGGUUUAACACUUGACUAGGGGUGGAUGGUUUAACACUUGACUAGAGGUGGAUGGUGUAACACUUGACUAGAGGUGGAUGGUGUAACACUUGACUAGAGGUGGAUGGUGUAACACUUGACUAGAGGUGGAUGGUGUAACACUUGACUAGGGGUGGAUGGUUUAACACUUGACUAGAGGUGGAUGGUGUAACACUUGACUAGAGGUGGAUGGUGUAACACUUGACUAGAGGUGGAUGGUUUAACACUUGACUAGAGGUGGAUGGUUUAACACUUGACUAGAGGUGGAUGGUUUAACACUUGACUAGGGGUGGAUGGUGUAACACUUGACUAGGGGUGGAUGGUUUAACACUUGACUAGAGGUGGAUGGUGUAACACUUGACUAGGGGUGGAUGGUGUAACACUUGACUAGAGGUGGAUGGUUUAACACUUGACUAGAGGUGGAUGGUGUAACACUUGACUAGGGGUGGAUGGUGUAACACUUGACUAGAGGUGGAUGGUUUAACACUUGACUAGAGGUGGAUGGUGUAACACUUGACUAGAGGUGGAUGGUGUAACACUUGACUAGAGGUGGAUGGUGUAACACUUGACUAGGGGUGGAUGGUGUAACACUUGACUAGAGGUGGAUGGUGUAACACUUGACUAGGGGUGGAUGGUGUAACACUUGACUAGAGGUGGAUGGUUUAACACUUGACUAGAGGUGGAUGGUGUAACACUUGACUAGAGGUGGAUGGUGUAACACUUGACUAGAGGUGGAUGGUGUAACACUUGACUAGAGGUGGAUGGUGUAACACUUGACUAGAGGUGGAUGGUGUAACACUUGACUAGGGGUGGAUGGUGUAACACUUGACUAGGGGUGGAUGGUGUAACACUUGACUAGGGGUGGAUGGUGUAACACUUGACUAGAGGUGGAUGGUUUAACACUUGACUAGGGGUGGAUGGUGUAACACUUGACUAGGGGUGGAUGGUGUAACACUUGACUAGAGGUGGAUGGUGUAACACUUGACUAGAGGUGGAUGGUGUAACACUUGACUAGGGGUGGAUGGUGUAACACUUGACUAGAGGUGGAUGGUGUAACACUUGACUAGGGGUGGAUGGUGUAACACUUGACUAGAGGUGGAUGGUUUAACACUUGACUAGAGGUGGAUGGUGUAACACUUGACUAGAGGUGGAUGGUGUAACACUUGACUAGAGGUGGAUGGUGUAACACUUGACUAGAGGUGGAUGGUUUAACACUUGACUAGAGGUGGAUGGUGUAACACUUGACUAGAGGUGGAUGGUGUAACACUUGACUAGAGGUGGAUGGUGUAACACUUGACUAGAGGUGGAUGGUUUAACACUUGACUAGAGGUGGAUGGUGUAACACUUGACUAGGGGUGGAUGGUGUAACACUUGACUAGGGGUGGAUGGUGUAACACUUGACUAGGGGUGGAUGGUGUAACACUUGACUAGAGGUGGAUGGUGUAACACUUGACUAGGGGUGGAUGGUGUAACACUUGACUAGGGGUGGAUGGUGUAACACUUGACUAGGGCUGGAUGGUUUAACACUUGACUAGGGGUGGAU